ACCUCCAUAUUAUGCACUGUGGUGGCAUAGCAUGAACACUGAUAUCAACAAUUUUUUUUUCCAGACAUCAAGUGUCAUGAAAGCGUUUCAUGCAGUGUAGGAUACAUAGAUUCAGUAGGCGUUAACUUUCAGGACCUAUCAUAUGAAGAAGAGCAGCUGAAGAAUGGUUUGUUGAGAGCAGAUCCAUAUAAAGCCUUGACUUGGUAAUUAUCGUGCACAAUCUGGCUCACAAGAGUCCCAGGCUGCGACAACAGGCUGCCGAUCACUCUCGACCAGCUCUUGGCACCCUCCUGGACGAGAUCACUACUGCUGAGGUCCCUUUUGUUUUAGAUCUUGCCAUAAGUGCCGACUGGCAUCAGCUUUCAAGCGUUACAGCCAUGGACGUGUACAAGUCCACUCCCGACUUGACAAAGUCCCAGGAACUGCAGAGACUGGGACAUCGUUGGAGGAAGGUCUCUUUUUUAUAUCGAUUUUUUGUUUUCACCA